rnacentral:rRNA from 1 species
CCCUUAGAUGUUCUGGGCCGCACGCGCGCUACACUGACGAAUGCAACGAGCUUAUAACCUUGGCCGAAAGGUCUGGGUAAUCUCCAAAUUUCGUCGUGAUGGGGAUAGAUUAUUGCAAUUAUUAAUCUUCAACGAGGAAUGCCUAGUAAGCGCAAGUCAUCAGCUUGCGUUGAUUACGUCCCUGCCCUUUGUACACGCCGCCCGUCGCUCCUACCGAUUGAAUGGUCCGGUGAAGCGUUCGGACCGUGGCCUUUGGACGGUUCGCCGUCUGUUGGCUGCGGGAAGUUCGUUAAACCUUAUCAUUUAGAGGAAGGAGAAGUCGUAACA